UUCGCUCACAAUGUAAUGCUAACAGGAGUUAACUUACAGGCUGUGAGUAAAAGCAGGAGGAAUUAUGAUAAUGUUGGUCUUUACUACAUCAACGGUCCCAGGAAGUAAACUGUUGCCUACAAUCUGUGUUUGUUGAAGUCCAAGAAAAGAGAUUUACGUUGGAGACAAUAACUUGCGUCAUCGUUUACUUUUGGGUAUUUUUUCACACUUCACUCUUCUAACGGAUGUCCCCAUCCUUAUGAAGUUGUGAGAGGCCCUGGAUAAGAACUACAACACCAUCCUGAAGUUCUUCCAAGGAGUCAACUACCAAGGAGUGAAAGAUGUUUUGACUACUUUUGAACCAGAGGCAUCAGAUAAGACUGCAAUCGUUCUACUUCUUCUGAUGGCUUACUUCAAAGAGCCAAAGGAUUCCAUUGUGCUUGAUGUUGAUGUGACACAUUGAAGCUGAGGGCAUGGAUGCUGUCGCUGGAGGGUCAAGUGGUCAUGGGACCUCACCCUGGCUUUACAACUGGUCUGGCGGCCACUUUUGCCAGUUACUAUAAUUUUAAUUUAAAGUAUGCUGACAGCGGUUCUUGCACUCUGGAAUUCAUUCAAAGGCGCUUUUUGGGCAUUAAUCCGGAGACAGGUACAAAGUCAAAGAAGCAGAAAGGACUCCUCAACCAGCAAGUCUGUACACUCACUCACUCAUUUUCUACCGCUUAUCUGAACUACCUCGGGUCACAGGGAGCCUGUGCCUAUCUCAGGACUCAUCGGGCAUCAAGGCAGGAUACACCCUGGACGGAGUGCCAACCCAUCACAGGGCGCACACACACUCUCAUUCACUCACGCAAUCACACACUAGGGACAAUUUUCCAGAGAUGCCAAUCAACCUACCAUGCAUGUCUUUGGACCGGGGGAGGAAACCGGAGUACCCGGAGGAAACCCCCGAGGCACGGGGAGAACUUGCAAACUCCACACACACGAGGCGGAGGCGGGAAUCGAACCCCCAACCCUGGAGGUGUGAGGCGAACGUGCUAACCACUAAGCCACCGUGCCCCCCAAGUCUGUACA